AUACGGAGGGUGCAAGCGUUAUUCGGAAUCACUGGGCGUAAAGGACGCGUAGGCGGGUUGGCAAGUCAGAUGUGAAAUCCUACAGCUUAUCUGUAGAACUGCAUUUGAAACUGCUAACCUAGAGUAUGGGAGGGGGAGAUGGAAUUAGUGGUGUAGGGGUAAAAUCCGUAGAUAUCACUAGGAAUACCGAAAGCGAAGGCGAUCUCCUGGAACGUAACUGACGCUAAGGCGUGAAAGCGUGGGGAGCAAACAGGAUUAGAUACCCUAGUAGUCC
rnacentral:rRNA from 1 species